rfam:Rattus norvegicus chromosome 4, whole genome shotgun sequence.
GGGGAUUUAGCUCAGUGGUAGAGCACUUGCCUAGCAAGCACAAGGCCCUGGGUUCGGUCCCUAGCUCCG